GCAGAACCUUCCUGAGCUGGAGCUUUCCUGCCCUGUGUCCUGCUGGGCCCCGGCUGCAGCUGCGCCCUGGAAAUGCAAAAGUGAGCGUGUAUUUUCGAAAGGGAGAAGAGAAAAUGUCUUCUCUGUUUCUUGGUUACCACCGUGGGUUUUUAAUCUGUAAUAACUGUGUUUUGUGUGUGUUGCUUUCAGGAAAAUACAUUUGUUGCCAUGACAACAAGAGUAGCUUUUCCCCCAGAUCCCAGUGCUCGGAUAGUCGAGGGCAACAGUGGAAUCCCAGGGCUGCAGGAGCAGCAGGAUUGCCUGGAGCUCCCUUGGACUGGGGGUUUGGGUGUGGGGGUGACACUGGGGGCUCAGCUCUGUGUGUGUGAGCACUAACAACCCUCUGUGCUUCCAGUGCUGGGCAGAGAUGGACCUGCAACGUGGAGCUGGAACAGCUGGAGAUGAACAGCCACACACCAUCUGCUCCCUGACAGGCGACGAGAGGUUUGCUGUUCUCUCCAUGGGGAAAAAACUCUCCAGCCAGUGGUGGAUGAAGUGAUGCAUGGUGGCCUCAGCCACCCAAGAGCUCUGCCAGCUGUGGGCUCUGGGGUUGGUGGUUGCUGAGGUAAAAGCAGCAGGACUUUCCCAACGCCAGGAGUUCCAGGUCAGAGCUGUCAGGAGGAGGAGCCCACUGUGGGUGAGCUGAGUCACUGCCUGGGCCCCUUGCUCGUGGGCUCUGUGGGGGGAGAACUCUGGCAGGGUGAUGGUUCUGAGGGGCUGCAGCCCCUUAAUGCCCCUGUUCCUGGAGGACUUGUCAAGGCCCUGCUGGGCACGACAGCCAGAAAUCUCACCGUGACAGUCGAUGUCUCUGCCGAGCCUUUGAAGGGCCGUGUGUGUUCCCUGAGCUCUACAUCACUGAAAUGAAUCCCCUGAGAGGGCUGGUUGGCUUCAAUCACACUGACCCCCAGCGUCCCUCGGGGCUGCACUCACCUCUCUCAGUGGCUGACAGGGAUUUUUCUUUAAGAUUUGUUAUUUUUAAAUUCCUCAGUGUCUUCCACGUUCUUGGGUCACUAAGGGGAAUCUCCAGCAGCACAAACACCUCUGACAUCCAGAAGCCUCCAAGCAGCAGGAGGGCCUCACCACAGCUCCUGCCUGGAGCCCCCAGCUCUGCUUCCCUGCAGACCCAGGCAGGGGGAAAAAACACUGAUGGAUGUGUUUGAGAAGUGAGACAGAGCUUCGAGUGCCCAGCACUGACCUUUGGUGUCUCACUGCCCUGAUUGUCACAUGCAGGGGCUUUGUCCUGCCCAGUGCAGGAGUGGAGUGGGCAGGUGAAGCACCAGGAAUUAAGAUUUUGGUCCUUCCUGUCCAUCUUCCCCAGGAUUUUCAUGGGUGGUGUCUCCAGGGCUGUCACAGCUGGCAGAGGUGGCUCAGGCUGAGCCUCAAGCCCAGAUGGUCACGGGCAAAUGUUGGCUGAGCACUGGCAGAGUGGAGCCCUCCUGGGAAUGGCAGCUGGGGGAGGCAGGAAUGGGAGCUGUGUCUCACCCUGAGGCACAGUCCCCUGGCUGGGAUGGAUCCAGGAAAACCAGCUCCAACAGCACCUGACUGCGAGCCUCGAGCUGCCCGUGGGAGCUGCAAUCCAGAGGGAAAGGGGAGCAGGAUGCUUUGUCACAAGCCUUGGAAGGAUGAACCUGGACCAGGAGCUUUGGAUGGUUUGGGAAGGAAAAAAAAGAACAACAUAAGGAUAUUCCUGAUGGGAAUUGACCCAAGAGGUCCCUGUCAGGGCUUUGGCCACCCCCAAACCCCACAGGACUCCUCGUGGGUUCCCUUGGCAACAGCGAAGCCAACACGGGGAUAACAGCCUGGGAACACAAAGGCAGCACUGACACCCUUCCCCUCAGCAGCCAAGGACGAGAGCUGGUGACAGUGACCUUGGGACAGGCCAGCUCGAUGGGAAGGUGUCUCCAGCCAACCUUUCAACGCCCCAGUCUAAUUUCUUCUUUUGUGGAAAAACUCCACCUGCAAGGCACAGGCUGGAUCCCAGAUCCUACAACACCUCAGAGCAAGGGCUCUUCGUCAUCUUUAAUCCACGAGGCACAUCAGCACUUUGAUUUGUGAUUUCCCAGUGGGAAUGAAAGCUGGACACACAUGGGAAGCACAUCUGUGACUUUACUAUGGCUGCUGCCACAGGACAGAAACAGGGAGCUGGUGGAUGAGAGCCUGGAUUUUAAAUCAUGGAAUCACAGACUGGCUUAGGCUGGAAGGAGCUUAGAGCUCAUCUCAUUCCACCCCCUGCCAUGGGCAGGGACACCUUCCACUAGCCCAGGCUGCUCCAACCCCCAUCCAACUCGGAUUCUAUGAGGAUUGGCCAUCAUUCCCUGCCCUUUGGCAGGGGGUUGGAACUAGAUGAGCUUUAAGGUCUCUUCCAACCCAGACCUUCUGGGAUUCCAUGGUUUUAAUUCCACCUCUGAAGAUGUGCUGCUCUUGGAGAGACUCUUCUGCUACUUUUCUGCUCUUGGAAGGUAAACAGCAUUUCAUUACACAAUUAAUAAACCCAUGGACAAACCAACGUUAUUGCAA